AGGUAUUGGGACUACUGCUGCCUUCCCAUCCUCAAGGGCCAGUGGGAACUCUAAUAUUGGGUAACAUGGAAACUCUUGAGAGUUUGGUUGGCGGCAUCUAUAUACCAUAGAAACAGAGCCUGGGAAAGCAGAACAGUGAGACCCAAGAGAAAUGUUCCUGCCUAUACUUGAUUGGUUGUCACAGAAUUCCGUGGACUUUAACCAGUGAUGCGCUGAUUUUGUCAUUUGUACCAGCUAACUCAUCUGGGAGGCAACAAAACAAUAUUCUCCUGAGGUUAAUGUGGACGAAGAACUAGAUUUCAUGUAAAAAGAGUUUAUUCCUUCUAUUUGAG
rnacentral:lncRNA from 1 species